AAUUCCGAAGUAAGAACUUCUGGCCUCUUUUCACCAUAAUAAAGGGCUGCCUUUGUAGGAAAAAGAAGGACAACAAUAAGGAAUUUCAGGAUCCUGGUGCUCUGAUUAUGCCUACAAGGGAUUUGGAAAAGAAGGAUGACUCCAGCAUUUGAAAGGUGUGUCAUCCUGGAUGCAUAAGAACAAUGGACAGAGCUGGCUUAAGAUUUACCUCCUCCAUUUCUGAGAAAUUCUGCUUUAAUUAUUUGUAAAUAAACAGACUGUGUGUUUGUAUAUAUGUG